rnacentral:rRNA from 1 species
UUCCGGUUGAUCCUGCCGGAGGCUACUGCUAUUGGGGUUCGACUAAGCCAUGCGAGUCUAUGGUUUCGGCCAUGGCGGACGGCUCAUUAACACGUGGUUAACUUACCCUCGGGUGGGGCAUAACCUUGGGAAACUGAGGAUAAUUCCCCAUAAGAAAAGCGGUCUGGAACGAUUCUUUUCUGAAAGUAUAUGCGCCCGAGGAUAGGACUGCGCUCGAUUAGGUAGUUGGUGGGGUAAUGGCCCACCAAGCCUACGAUCGAUACGGGCCUUGAGAGAGGGAGCCCGGAGAUGGGGACUGAGACACGGCCCCAGGCCCUACGGGGCGCAGCAGGCGCGAAACCUCCGCAAUGCACGAAAGUGCGACGGGGGGACCCCAAGUGCUCAUGCACAGCAUGGGCUUUUAUCAAGUGUAAACAGCUUGAGGAAUAAGGGCUGGGCAAGUUCGGUGCCAGCA